AUAAGAUUUUAAUUGAAUGCUAAGAGAAUGGAAGUCCAGAAAAAAACUUUUUUUAAAUUAAAAAUUGAAGUUUUUUUAAUUUGUGCAGAAACAAUUAUUUAUAUUAAAGACAAGAAGACCCUAUGAAUUUAUUAAAUUUUUAUUUAAUAUGUAAUUACUAUUAGAAAAAUUUUGGCUGGGGCGGCUAGAAAAUAUUAUAAACUUUUUAAAAAUAAAAUGAUCCAUUAUUAAUGAUUUUAUGUUAAAUACUCUAGGGAUAACAGCGUUAUAUUUUUUGAUAGAUCAUAUUGACAAAAAAGUUUGCGACCUCGAUGUUGGAUUAGGAUACUUUUUUAAUGAAGAUAUUAAAAAAAGAAGUU
rnacentral:rRNA from 1 species